GCCGGGGUGAUGGAAUUGGUAGACAUACGGGACUUAAAAUCCCGAGAGCCGUUAAACGCUCGUGUGGGUUCGACCCCCACCCCCGGCA
rnacentral:tRNA from 1 species